CACGGGUGCUUGCACCUGGUGGCGAGUGGCGAACGGGUGAGUAAUGCAUCGGAACGUAUCCAAUAAUGGGGGAUAACGCAUCGAAAGGUGUGCUAAUACCGCAUACGCCCUGAGGGGGAAAGUGGGGGAUCUUCGGACCUCACGUUAAUGGAGCGGCCGAUGUCUGAUUAGCUAGUUGGUGAGGUAAAGGCUCACCAAGGCGACGAUCAGUAGCUGGUCUGAGAGGACGACCAGCCACACUGGGACUGAGACACGGCCCAGACUCCUACGGGAGGCAGCAGUGGGGAAUUUUGGACAAUGGGGGCAACCCUGAUCCAGCCAUGCCGCGUGAGUGAAGAAGGCCUUCGGGUUGUAAAGCUCUUUCGCAAGGAAAGAAAACUUAGCCACUAAUACUGGCUGAGGCUGACGGUACCUUGAUAAGAAGCACCGGCUAACUACGUGCCAGCAGCCGCGGUAAUACGUAGGGUGCGAGCGUUAAUCGGAAUUACUGGGCGUAAAGC
rnacentral:rRNA from 1 species